GAUGAACGCUAGCGGCAGGCUUAAUACAUGCAGGUCGAGGGGCAGCAUAAGUAGCAAUACUUGAUGGCGACCGGCAAACGGGUGCGGAACACGUACGCAACCUUCCUUUAAGUGGGGAAUAGCCCGGGGAAACCCGGAUUAAUACCCCGUAAUAUUAUGAUGUGGCAUCACUUUAUAAUUAUAGAUUUAUCGCUUAAAGAUGGGCGUGCGCCUGAUUAGGUAGUUGGCGGGUAACGGCCCACCAAGCCUGCGAUCAGUAACUGGUGUGAGAGCACGACCAGUCACACGGGCACUGAGACACGGGCCCGACUCCUACGGGAGGCAGCAGUAAGGAAUAUUGGUCAAUGGACGCAAGUCUGAACCAGCCAUGCCGCGUGGAGGAUGAA
rnacentral:rRNA from 1 species